rnacentral:lncRNA from 1 species
AUGGCUCUGAGCAUGUCUUCCAUAGUCUGAAUUGUCCUUUCACUUUGUCCAUCUGUUUGAGGAUGAUAAGCUAUACUUAGAUUUAAUCGGGUUCCCAUAGCUUUUUGAAAACUUGUCCAAAAAUGAGAAGUAAAACGACUAUCUCUGUCAGACACAAUAGAUAAAGGAAUCCCAUGUAGUGAGACUAUUUCAUCCACUUACAGCUUGGCUAAUUGUUCCAUACUGAAAGUUUCCUUCAUCGGUAAGAAAUGUGCAAAUUUAGUUAAUCUAUCCACAAUCACCUAGAUUGUGUCAUUACCCUCUCGUGUCUUGGGUAGUUUGGUAACAAAAUCAAUUGUUAUCAAUUCCCAUUUCCAAAUUGGCAUCUUCAAUUGCUGAAGUAACCCUGAAGGCUUUUGAUGUUCAGCUUUAACUUGUGAGCAAGUUAAACAUUUAGCAACAUAACUUGCUAUGUCCUUUCUCAUUCCUAUCCACCAAAAGUUUCUCUUUAGAUCUUGAUACAUCUUGUCAUUUUCAGGAUGCAUCGUAUACUUGGACUUAUGAGCUUCUUAUAAAAUUCGAUUUCGUAGAUUCCCUUGGAUAGGUACCCAGAUUCUUUUCUUAUGGAAUUUCCAAAUUCCAUCUGUUCCUUUUUCUAAUUCUUUUAUCAUUCCUUUUAACCCCUCAGCAUCAUUCUUGAUUGCUGCUCCCUCUACCUUUUUCAAUUGUUCAUUUAAAUCUAUCUAUAGGUUUAAUUUGAGAGCAUGUACCCUCUUUGGCUUUUCAUGAUACUUUCGACUUAAAGCAUCAACUACUACUGAUGUGCGUGAAGUGUGCUAUAUAUUUUAUGUAUAUUUUAAGCCCUUUUACACUUUUUAGCCAAGUUUUAAAUUUAUAAAACAUGAUAUUUACUAACACUAAACACACAUAUGGGCAAGUGCACCCAUCGUGAGCGUAGUAUAGUAUUGGUAAGUACCGAGGUCGUCCAAGGACACAAGAGCUUUUAAUACAGGUUUAUCCUCAACGUCUAAUCAAAUCAAAAGUUAGAAAAAAGGUUUUUAAACUAGAAAAUAAAACUAACUAAAAUGCUGAAAAUAAAAAUAAAAGUAAAAACAGAUAGACAAGAUGAAUCACUUGGAUCCGACUCGUGUGUAGUGUAACCUUUGAUUAUUUCCGCACUUUUGCACUUUUAAGAGAUUAUCUUAGUUAUUGUAGUAGGCCCCUCUUUUGAAGGUGACGUUACCCUCAACCCAGUAGUUUGAGUUAGCAAGGAUACAAUCCUAAAGGGUCGGAUUAUUGAAAGAUAAUUAAUUAAGUUAUUAAUGCAUAAUGUGGUAGGCCCCUCUUUUGAAGGUGACUUUACCCUUGGCUAAGUAGUCUGAGUCAGCAAGGAUACAGUCCUAAGUAGCCGGGUUAAAGUUUUAAUAGUAGCUUAUAUAUGAGGGGAUUAAAUAGUUUGGACCCCGCCAUCCAAUACCGGUGGAUAUUGAAGGAGGUCCUACUAAAUUUGACCCAGGUCCUUGCAGGAUCUAUACACUGAACAAGGCAAGACUCUUACCAAACCGUUCCCUUAACCCCUGACCAGGUAGCCAACAUAUCUCCAUAUAGACCGUGGAGAUAUGAAUGGUGAAAAUCUUUAUUUUAUAUAGACAGUAAAAUAAUGCCAAGACACCACGGACAAACGAUAAGGAAGAAUCUCCUUCAACAUAAGAAACUAGUUAUUAAAGUCAUUAAUACAUAACCA